GAGGAAAGCCCGAGCCAGCCAUCCGCCCAUCCAGCCAGCCACCUAAACCAAGAUACUACUAGCUGGUUGGUGGCGCGGAGUAGGCAGAGGCACAGAGCCAGCCCCGAGGAUCGAUACGUGGUCGAGAGAAGGUUACCUCACUACGCUUAGGUCCUCGGAACUACGGCGUGAUACGACCUACCCGCCAACCAGCCAGCUACCCUGGAGUUGCGUGCCUGUAUUUUCCUACUUCAAUUAACGAGGAAUAAUUUGUAGACGGGUCGGAGGAAUUAGAUGCGCUGCAAAUUUGCCCGCGUAUCACAGAGAGAUCCAUGCGAGCUGAAUUGAUAACAUCGAUCACUUUUGAAACGCCUCCUUUCUUAAUCUGGCGCAAAUGUAAAAGUUUCAAGUUCUACACGUUUGCCGAAGAAAAUUAAGAAAAAUAAAUAUCACCGAGAGGCCACACCAACUCGGCAGGCUCAGCCCGCGGAGUUACUAAUAAAAUUAACACUUCCCCGGUGGAAAUCAGCCAUCAAACCCAACCAAAGUUCAACGUUUCACUCUUCUUUGACUCUGGCCCAGGCAAGCAAGGUCAAGACGACAAUUGCAACUCCAAAGGCUUUGUGAAUCCAGAAUGGAAAGAAACUUAAAUUAAAGUGGUUUUAGUAGUGCAGUUUAAUGAUGUGAAUUUUGAUAAAUACCAUCAGUUGUCAUAGCAAUAAGAGAACAUUAGCAAUAGUAGUAUGUAAUGAUUUUUUUGUACAACAAGUUUUACGAAUAGCAAGACUAAUUGAUAUAAAAUUAAUAGAAAAUAAAACCUAAGAUAAGUGUAUUUAUUAUCAAAGUACCUAUUGAUAAAUUGUAAAUGCAAAACUUAUAACUUCCCUUUAUUGUAUUUCUCCUACGCUUAUGAUAUAGUUAUUACAUAGUUAUUCAUAGUAAAGAUACAUGGUACAUUAUAUUAAUAGAAAAUGCUUAAGGAUAACUUUUUCACUUUUGUGAAAAG